UGUAGGAGCUGGCUUGCCUGCGAUAGCGGUGGGUCAGUUUCAAAUGGGUUAGCUGACCCACCGCUAUCGCAGGCAAGCCAGCUCCCACA
rnacentral:misc_RNA from 1 species